UCACUAAAGAUGGACGACAUGGACAGCAAUCAGAGCAUGGUCAGCGGUUUGCCUUCUGGACUGAUGAGGCCAGAAACUUGCUCCAAGGAACUCUUCAGCCAGUGUACAGAGUGCUAUCUCAGAGGAGAUCCACAUUCAGGCUGUCGAUGACCACACUGCAGAGGUAAAGAGACUGCUGGACUUCAUUGUAAAGUUACAGGGAUCUGAGGAGCAUUUAGUGGGUGUACUCAGUGGGAAGCCCUCUAAGGUCUCAUAAGCUAACCUCUUCCCGAGUGCCUGUCUAUCUCGACAGUGAGGAACAACUGUCCUGUUUGCCUAUCUGAGAGGAGUGCUGCAUAGGACACCAACACAACUGAGCUUCACAGAUGAAGUGCAGAGGCCAUCAUAUAUGCCCUGGCUGUCCUACGGAAUUUCUCAUUGCAGGAGGCUGAGCAGGUCUUCCUUUCUGGUCCGGAUUAUCAUUACAGGAGUUGAAGCCUACAGCCUUUCUGUCCAUGCAGCAACUGAUGGAAAAGGGGGUCUUUUUUUAUGAUGUUGUAUUAUGUGUUAUUGCAAAAAUGAGUAUAUACAGUAUAUAAAUAUGCAUUCUUGAAUCAUU